UUAGAGUUUGAUCCUGGCUCAGGACGAACGCUGGCGGCAUGCCUAAUACAUGCAAGUCGAACGCUGAAGCACUCUGCUUGCAGAGUGCGGAUGAGUGGCGAACGGGUGAGUAACACGUGGGGAAUCUGCCUAGGAGUGGGGGAUAACAUUCGGAAACGGAUGCUAAUACCGCAUAUCUUCUUAGACCGCAUGGUCUAUGAAUGAAAGACGGCUUUGCUGUCGCUCUUAGAUGAUCCCGCGGCGUAUUAGUUAGUUGGUGGGGUAAAGGCCUACCAAGACAAUGAUACGUAGCCGACCUGAGAGGGUGAUCGGCCACACUGGGACUGAGACACGGCCCAGACUCCUACGGGAGGCAGCAGUAGGGAAUCUUCCACAAUGGGUGCAAACCUGAUGGAGCAAUGCCGCGUGAAUGAAGAAGGUCUUCGGAUCGUAAAGUUCUGUUAUUAGUGAAGAACAAAUCGAGGAGUAACUGUCUCGAUUUUGACGGUAACUAACCAGAAAGUCACGGCUAACUACGUGCCAGCAGCCGCGGGUAUACGUAGGUGACAAGCGUUGUCCGGAAUUAUUGGGCGUAAAGGGAGCGCAGGCGGUUGGAAUAGUCUGAUGUGAAAGCCCUCGCUUAACCGUGGAAUGUCCUUGGAAACUGUCCAACUUGAAUGCAAAAAAGGUAAGUGAAAUUCCAUGUGUACCGGUGAAUGCUUAAAUUUUGGAGGAACCCCGGGGGCGAGGGCACUUUCUGGUUUGUGAUUGAGUUAAAGCUCCAAAGCGGGGGUAACCAAAAGGAUUAAAUCCCUGGUAAUCC
rnacentral:rRNA from 1 species